GAGCUUUCUCAGAUUUCUCAAUGCUUCCUCCUUGUGUGCAUCUGCUUCACUAACUAAGCUAUGGACCCUAGUUUUCCAUUUAAGAUACCAGAGCUUCUGCUCCUCAGCAUGUCUGCUCAUCAACUGAAACUCAACCCCAGCUAAACUGAACUGUUGGUCAUCCCAGGGGAUUUAUCUCCAGGUCACGAACUCAGAAUAACUUUUCACAACUCUCUGAUCUCCCUUUCACCCAAUUCUCACAACCUCUGGAUAACCAUGGACAAUCAACUGUCCUUUUUCUUACAUGUUGCUAAUGUGACACUUUUGUCAUUUCUUCCCUACGACAUCAAAAGGAUUUGACCAUUUCUAUCCACGCAGUUUAGUUGCUCAUUUCAGUCUGUUGUCAUUUUGAGACUGGACUACUGCAAUUCUCUGCUGGCAGGUCUACUCCUGAACUCUAUUUGUCCACUGCAAAUGAUCCACAAUGCAGCUGUGUGUUUAACCAGCCCCACCUUACAGCUGUGCUCCACUAGCUUCUGGUAGUUGAACACAUCAGAUUCAGAACACUGAUGCUUGCUUACAAAGCCAAAAAUGGACCAGCACCUCAGAAACUUUAUCACUCCUUGCACUGCACCACGCUGAGAUCCUCUAGCACUGCUUGACUGGUCCCACCUUCUGUCAGGAUGUCCGGACAGCGAAGUCUUCAAGCGACCGGUGAAGACUUACCUCUUACUGUACGCUGGAGGAGCUGUAUUGCUGUACAAGAGGACUAUUUUGAAGGUGAUAAAUGUAGAUGAUUGCAAAAAGAGCUGGAUUUAAAACCUUUUGAAACCACGUCGUACAUCACACACUACACUCGACACACAACACUAUACACAACAUACUUUAUACACUAUUCACCACACACUAUAUAUCACACACAGCAUACAAUACAAUUUACAUUACACUCUAUACACAUUACACCUUAAAACACACCACACUGUACAACACAUCAUAUACUGCACUUUACACAAUGUAUACCACACACUACACUCUACAAGCCUAUAUUACACAUCACACUGUAUAGUGUACAUAUUAUACACACUGAAUGGAAAUUCAUAAAGGGUGUGUCUAAACUUCUGGAACUAUAUACCUCUGAAACACGUUGUGUAAAGUUUAAUGGGACGUACAUGAUGACAGAAGUUCUUUAUCUCAGGGUCAGUGUGGGGAAUUACACAGCCGAUCAAUACAACGUGGGGCCGAACGCACAUAAAUUAGUCUCUAAUACUUUAUACUUCAAAGCCUUUAGAGAUUUAGAAGCCUGGAUAAAGGUGUGUGUGUGUAUGUGUGUAUGUGUGUGUGUGUGUCUGUGUGUAGCUCUAAUGAAUCGAGGGACGGCGUAAUUGUCUCUGGGAUCUUCAUCAAAUAUGGAUAGAGCUGAGGAGCAAAAUGUUCAUUACACACACACACACACACACACACACACACACCAACCACCAUCGAUCUGGUCAGUACCACGACAUGAAAUCAAUCUGCAAGAGUUCCUAAUAAAGCUAUGGGUUCUCUCCUCCUUCACUACAUCUCUCUAUAUAAAAAUUCCUCCAUCUCUCUCUCUCUCUCUCUCUCUCUCUCUCUCUAUCCUUCGCUCUUGAUUUCACCCUCGCUCACUUUAUAUGUUUUUUUAACUGCUGUCUAGUUCUUUCUAUUGUUCUAUUUUCUAAAUGUUUGUGCAGGAGUGUGCUGGUAUAUAGGUUGAGUGGGUGUGGGAUAUAGUUACCCAUAAUGCACUAUGACAGCGUAUUUCAUUGUAUGUCAUUAAGUCAUCUUUAAUUAACGGACCUCCCCAUAAUUCCUCAUUAGUGCCGUGAAGCUCAUCACUGCUGCUCUCUGACUGGACGUUAAAUUCACUUUGCUCUAAAAUCAAUACGCUGAUUUAUGAUUUUUUUUUUCUUUCCUUCCUCUCACACUAACGCUGCUGACCUUCACAUGAUCCGGAACUGAGCGGAACCGAGUAUGCAGGAUUGCCUCUGAAGAAAUGAGAUGUGAGGCAUCAAAGGACGAGUGACGAUCUUUGAUCAGCUUUUUCUCUCAUCUUUCUAUAAAUAAAUUACAACUCGGAGUCACAGUGUGGAGGAAAAAUGCAGCAGAUCCACUGUCUUACUGCGUUAUGCUUUAUUUUUAUGUGCAGACAAAUCACCUGGAAAACAGGCUAACUAGCUAAUUACCUAAUGUUCGUGACAACUAGAGGCCUAUUGUCAUGGUAACGUCAAAAUGAGUCAUUUAAUAAUUUUAUCUUGAUACCUCUAAAGAAAGCACAUAACUCAGCAAAGCAAAGCUGAUUUAACAAGUAGAAAAUGCAGAUCUAUUGGCAACUAGCAGAAUUUGGGAGGAAGAUUUGUGCCUACGACCAUAGCAAGUAGAAACCAGCGCUUUUUUAGCUAAUAUAUCUUGGUUUGAAUUUGGACUAAAAACAAAAAAACAACAGAAAAUGGGGUCAUUGUAUUGCAAAAUACAAAAAAGAAAAACCUUAUAAUUACUUAAUAAACCAUUCAAAUAAAUGUUAGCUUGCUACCUAACUUCCUAACAAGUUACACAUAAUGGUGUUUCUGGUCAUUAGAAACGUUAAUUGUUUUUGGUAAUUAGUACUAAGCAAGCAUAAAAAACAAAAUUGUCAUCACACUGCAAAAAAAAAAAGAAAAAAAGAAAAACUGGACUAGGUCAAAAGAUCGAAACUAAUUUGUCCCUUUUAUGGCAAAUCAAUUAUCAUUUAAGCCUCUUAAUAGAUUAUCAAUAAUCAGUUACUGCUGGUGUAUGUGUGUGAGUGUGAGUGUGUUUCUGCAUUAAUAUUGAAUGUGCAUAGGGAAUUACACCCCACACUGUACAUUGUAGUAACAUCAGUGUGUAAAGGGUUCCAUCAUGUUGGAGUUAUUUUCCAUAUUUUUACCACUGUGUGUGUGUGUGUGUGUGUGUGUGUGUGUGUGUGUGUGUGUGUGUGUCUGAGUGUGUGUAAGAAACAUUUCCAUUCCUCCAGCCCAAACGGAUGGUUGGCUCAGAGCUUGCAGGAGGAAUGGCGUAGAGUGUACAGCAUCGGUGUUCAGUCUAAGCGGCGCACUGGGAUUAACCAAGCGACGGAUGAAAAGUGUGUGUGUGUGUGUGUUGGUGUGUGCAUUUCUUCGUAAGGCUGCUGAUGGAUUGGAAUUAAACAGCGUGAUGUUUGAAAUAAAGCAGAAGGUGAACAGAGAGGAGAAAAAGCGAAGGAGGAAAAUGAUGAACUGGAAGAGAAUCUGGCAGAAGAUGAAGGAUGAACUGUGGACUAAACAUUUGUGCAGAUUUUUUUUGCUUUGAUGUAUAUUUAUUUUAUGUAUUUUUAUGUAAGCAUUGGCGUGACUAUAGGAACACUAAUUUAAAAAAAUAACUUCAAAAUGGCAUGAGAGUAGCUACAGAGCUGAAGGGGGAAUCUGGCUAAUAUGCUGUAUGAUUAAAUUCUUA